ensembl:lncRNA
AGCAAGAGCCAGCCAGCUUCCCCCGCCCCCGCCCACCUUAAGCUCUGGGUCCCGUCUGCCAUGCCUCUGAAUUUUACUAUUAGCCACUCAGCAUCUGCCCUUCUGCCUUUGUCGUCCUCUAAUACUUGGUUAACAGUUCUGCUUGUGUAUCUGUAUAUACGUAUAAUUCUCUCUGCUAAAGUAAUUGGUGUGUCUUCGUCUCCUGACUUGAACCUGAAUGAACACUUGUGUCUUUCAAAUAAGCCUCUGUCUCUCUUAUCUGUGCCUUGGAGCUAUCUUGUCAAGAUCACCUGCCAUAUGUCAGGGAAAGGAAACAAGAAUGGAUGUCACAGAAAUGUCGUCCUAUCCCAUGUAGUCUCCAAAAGAUUUCCAAUAAUUUGAAAUCUCACACCUCUCUCCUUUGCGUGUUAGUCAAAUUUCUUUCCUCUGCAAGCAACAGAAAUAGCCUUGGGCUACCCUAAGCUAGAAAGUAACUUUAUUGGAAGGAUGAUGGGGUCUCAAAACACCCAGAGCCAAGUUCCACAGCCAACCCAGCCAGAGGGGAAACCCGGGAGGUAUCAGGGGACCCAAAAACAGGAGCUCAGGAACCUUCUCCUCAGAGGGCUGCUCGUCCCUGCUUCAGCAUCCCAAAACCUUCCACUCCAGACUGUANNNNNNNNNNNNNNNNNNNNNNNNNNNNNNNNNNNNNNNNNNNNNNNNNNNNNNNNNNNNNNNNNNNNNNNNNNNNNNNNNNNNNNNNNNNNNNNNNNAGCCCAGGGUUAGUCCCAGAACGCACAGGGAACUGCUGUGUGAGCCUGAUCCUCUGCCCCAAUCCUAAUUUCUCAUUCCAGGUAAUGGUGACAGGCUGCCCUGAGGGAAAUUCAGAAGCAACUGAGAGACAGGCUCCCGAGACCCCGUUACAUUCAGAGCAGCUGUCACACUAAUAGACCCUCUUGCGAACUUGAUAUGCAUGUUCCUUGCCAGGUGCUUAAAGCUAAACGCUUUGCUUUGAAACAUUUGUUGAAAAGCUUUUCAGUUCCCCAACUCCACCUGUUUUAUACAAGUGACUUAAUAGGAACAAUUUUGCAAGCUCUCUCUUCCAGUCGGAUCCUCUCCUGUAUGCAGAGUUACCUGCGUGUUAAGCUGGCAUUUGCGCAGGUAUAAAACUAUUUCUGGACAGUGGGGUGUUAUCCAAUGAGCAAAAUCCGAGACAGUCCUGGAGUUGAUUUCUAAAAUGCCAUCCACCCUCCUUACACAGCCAGUCCAAAUGCUGGUCCUCGUGAUGCUCUCAAAGGCUCACUGCCUCCCACUGAUGCUCUUGCACAAGCCAGGGCUAAGCCACAGACCCUGCAAUAGGUAGUCCCAACAUGGACACAAAUCCAGUGUAUGGAAUCCAUGCAUGACUAGGCUGAUGCUUGCAGUUCAAAUGGUAUCUAUUAAAGGAUAGAUAGAAACGAUGAACUUGUUGAAAACCAACCUUGCUACACAUAAAUUCAUUUCACAAAACUUUACAGAAGAACAUCACCAGGUUGGCCUGAAAAUGACGCAUCUCGGUAGUUUCCAAAACUCAGAUGCUAAGCAAAAGGAUGCAUAGGUUUGCUGGACAGAAAGAUUCACCUUAUUCUUUCCCCUCUAUGUGAUUCAUGAAAACCUGAACUUGUAAACCUCUUACUGGAAUAAACACUGGAAAGGAGAAAAAAUAUUGUGUCAACAACUGAAGAAACAUCAAACAAGGAGUGCUAUUAUGUGAUAAUUAAGAGAUGAGACCCUGGAAUUUGAGAGAGGUGUGAACAAAAGUGUCAGGUCCUACAGGAAAGGAGCAACCUGACAAUUAGAAAGAUAUCUAACCAUUCACAUCUACGCUUCUCCCUGUCCUGAUUCCUACUCUUAAUACAUACAGUUCCAAGAAGUCAAUGACAUGCAUCUGGUCCCAUUUGAGCACUCAGCACACUAUCACUAUGAUGCUGAUUGCUAGAAAAAUCAACCAAAGUCCUAUGACAAAAAUCACAGCAGCAAUUAUAUGGAUAUAGUCAUGGUUAAUAGUAGCCAGUUAUAAAAAAAUAGGUAGAAAGCUUAACAUUUCAUUUAGCACAGACUUAUUAUUAGCACUGCUGUAGGUGCUGGGAAAACAAAAAGUUGGGGGGAAACUGGUCAAAACACCUGACCUCUUGGAGCUCAGAGCUGAUUAAGCAGCAAAGACCGAGAGAAAAAUGCCAUUGGAAAUAGA